AAUGAACGCUGGCGGCAUGCCUAACACAUGCAAGUCGAACGAUGGUCCUCGGAUCAUAGUGGCGCACGGGUGCGUAACGCGUGGGAAUUUGCCCUUGGGUUCGGAAUAACAGUUGGAAACGACUCUUAAUACCGGAUGAUGUCGAAAAGACCAAAGAUUUACCGCCCGAGGAUGAGCCGGCGUCGGUUUAGUUGGUUGGUGGGGUAAAGGUCUACCAGGGCGAGGAUCCGUAGCUGGUCUGAGAGGAUGACCAGCCACACUGAGGCUGAGACACAGCCCAGACUCCUACGGGAGGCGGGAGUGGGGGAUAUUGGACAGUGGGCGCAGGCCUGAUCGAGCUAGGCCGGGUAAGUGAUGAAGGCCUUGGAGUUGUAAUGCUCUUUUACCCGGGAAGAUAAUGACGGUACCGGGAGAAUAAGCCCCGGCUAACUCCGUG
rnacentral:rRNA from 1 species